UACGUAGGGUGCAAGCGUUGUCCGGAAUUAUUGGGCGUAAAGAGCUCGUAGGCGGUCUGUCGCGUCUGCUGUGAAAACUCAGGGCUUAACCCUGAGCUUGCAGUGGGUACGGGCAGACUAGAGUGCGGUAGGGGAGACUGGAAUUCCUGGUGUAGCGGUGAAAUGCGAAGAUAUCAGGAGGAACACCGGUGGCGAAGGCGGGUCUCUGGGCCGUAACUGACGCUGAGGAGCGAAAGCAUGGGGAGCGAACAGG
rnacentral:rRNA from 1 species